rnacentral:rRNA from 1 species
CCACGGGAGGCAGCAGUGGGGAAUAUUGGACAAUGGGCGAAAGCCUGAUCCAGCCAUGCCGCGUGUGUGAAGAAGGCCUUCGGGUUGUAAAGCACUUUCAGUGGGGAAGAAAGCCUUGGGGCUAAUACCCUCGAGGAAGGACAUCACCCACAGAAGAAGCACCGGCUAACUCCGUGCCAGCAGCCGCGGUAAUACGGAGGGUGCGAGCGUUAAUCGGAAUUACUGGGCGUAAAGCGCGCGUAGGCGGUCUGAUAAGCCGGUGUGAAAGCCCCGGGCUCAACCUGGGAACGGCAUCCGGAACGUUGAGACAAGAGGGUAGGAGACGAAGGUACAAGUCGCGGUGGAGCAGUUCAACGCGUAGGGAUCGGGAGGAAUAUGAGGGGGGAAGGGGGACUUCGGGUCUGACACUCCCGCUGGAGUGCGAAAUCGUGGGUACCAAACAAGACCAGCGAACCCGGAAGAG